UCUCGCUCUCCAUUUCCCUCCCACCCUUAGUGGCAACAUCACAUAGACAAAUCUGAUUGGCUAUGCAGCAUUGUGAUGUCAACUCAUGCAUGGAGUAAGGACUGAUUGAGUGGGAUCAUCUGUACAACGUGAAGCUCUGUCCCCAUUAUUCUCCCUCUCAUAUUAUACAAAUGUAUUGAGGAUAUGUCUAUCAGCACCGAUUUGUAUGAAAACUAUAUGGAACCUCGAUGUACAGAGGAAGUCAGCAACAGGCCUUCCAGGGCUGGGCUCCAGCAUAAGACUUGGAACUUGCUGCACUGCAAGAAGCCACCACAAGUGGCAGUGAACUACCACAAUUCAAGCUUGAAGGCCAAAAGAACAGUUUCCCCUCAUCCAGUAUGAAGGACCAAACACACUUCUCUACAAAGAUCGAAACGGUAUCUUGAGGAGUUGGUGGGAGCACCCAGAUGUGACCGACCUCCCAACCGGAAGCCUCCUUCUGUCCAGUGAUUUAUCUAAUGGGUUUCAUCGAGGGCCUAAAUAGCGUACUACUAAGCAAGUUCUUUCAAGUUGCUCCUGAUUCUACAGCUAUGCCUUUUCCUAGAGAUUAAGGAUCUGGCUGCUAUUACAGAGGCCCUGAUCUUGCAUGGAUAAUGGAAGACUGAUGCUCUGCAUAAACUGAAUGCUCUAAACAGAUGUAACCAGGGUUGCCACCAGUGCCAGCAUAUGUUUCUGUUCCUGUUUUUAAACAGAAGUUGGACACACGGAUAGCAAGCAGGUGAAGAUCCCCCAACAAUUGUCGCCAUGCCAAGAGAAGCCUCACUUGCUAGCUUUCUACAUGCAAGGCAUUGUAAAAAGCACAGGUGCCUAGCCAGAAACAGUUGGCAAGCAGUCCUAGAGGCAAUGUGUACCUUGCAUUUCAGGACAGCAGAUUUUAAUAAACUCAGAGAAGCACUGCACAGGAUUCCAUUGCUAGAUAAACUGCUAGGAGAAGGAACCCAAGAUGGAUGGAAGGCCCUGAAGAAAGAGUUACUAAAAGCAAGCAUGCCACCAGUUCUGUAUUUCAAGGAACUGUUCCUUAUUUCAAGGAACUGCUCCUUAUUUUGAAUUAAAAUGUUGUGUUCUUUUUCAAGUUAAUAAGGAACACAGCUUGUUCCUUUGGCUUUGGGACUA